GCGAGAGUGGCGGAAUGGCAGACGCGUCCCGUUUAGGGCGGGAUGGGGCGACCCGUGGGGGUUCAACUCCCCCCUCUCGCACCA
rnacentral:tRNA from 3 species